UCCCUGCUGCCUGGUCUGCCUCUGCAGCCUGGAAAGGACCCCUCCUGCUACCAAGAAAAGCAGGGAGUGAAAACCCAAAUACCAUGCCCUUGACUUGGUUAUGGAAAAAACAGGAGCUCCUGAGGCUGAAUUGUGGGCAAACUGGACUGAUUGCAGCUUCAAUAAUCCAUCUCGGUCCACCCCUCCUCUGGAUGAAAUCUUGUCCUACAUAGAACCAAAUCAGAGGCUCAGCUUUCAUGUCUG